rnacentral:tRNA from 4 species
GGGCGCGUGGUGUAGCCUGGUCCAACACGGCUCCCUGUCACGGAGCAGAUCGCCGGUUCAAAUCCGGUCGCGCCCGCCA